rnacentral:rRNA from 1 species
GACGAACGCUGGCGGCGUGCUUAACACAUGCAAGUCGAACGGAAAGGCCCUGCUUUUGUGGGGUGCUCGAGUGGCGAACGGGUGAGUAACACGUGAGUAACCUGCCCUUGACUUUGGGAUAACUUCAGGAAACUGGGGCUAAUACCGGAUAGGAGCUCCUGCUGCAUGGUGGGGGUUGGAAAGUUUCGGCGGUUGGGGAUGGACUCGCGGCUUAUCAGCUUGUUGGUGGGGUAGUGGCUUACCAAGGCUUUGACGGGUAGCCGGCCUGAGAGGGUGACCGGCCACAUUGGGACGGAGAGACGGCCAAGACUCCUACGGGAGGCAGCAGUGGGGAAUAUUGCACAAUGGGCGGAAGCCUGAUGCAGCAACGCCGCGUGCGGGGUGACGGCCUUCGGGUUGUAAACCGCUUUCGCCUGUGACGAAGCGUGAGUGACGGUAAUGGGUAAAGAAGCACCGGCUAACUACGUG